UACGUAGGGGGCAAGCGUUGUCCGGAAUCAUUGGGCGUAAAGAGCGUGUAGGCGGCUUGGCAAGUCUCGCGUGAAAUCCUGCGGCUCAACCGCAGGCGGUCGCGGGAAACUGCCUCGCUAGAGUCCGGAAGAGGAGAGUGGAAUUCCUGGUGUAGCGGUGAAAUGCGCAGAUAUCAGGAAGAACACCCGUGGCGAAGGCGGCUCUCUGGGACGGUACUGACGCUGAGACGCGAAAGCGUGGGGAGCGAACAGG
rnacentral:rRNA from 1 species